AGUGAACGCUGGCGGUAGGCCUAACACAUGCAAGUCGAACGGCAGCACAGUAAGAGCUUGCUCUUACGGGUGGCGAGUGGCGGACGGGUGAGGAAUACAUCGGAAUCUACUUUUUCGUGGGGGAUAACGUAGGGAAACUUACGCUAAUACCGCAUACGACCUACGGGUGAAAGCAGGGGAUCUUCGGACCUUGCGCGAUUGAAUGAGCCGAUGUCGGAUUAGCUAGUUGGCGGGGUAAAGGCCUACCAAGGCGACGAUCCGUAGCUGGUCUGAGAGGAUGAUCAGCCACACUGGAACUGAGACACGGUCCAGACUCCUACGGGAGGCAGCAGUGGGGAAUAUUGGACAAUGGGCGCAAGCCUGAUCCAGCCAUACCGCGUGGGUGAAGAAGGCCUUCGGGUUGCAAAGCCCUUUUGUUGGGAAAGAAAAGCAGCAGGUUAAUACCCCGCUGUUCUGACGGUACCCAAAGAAUAAGCACCGGCUAACUUCGUG
rnacentral:rRNA from 1 species